UGUGACUGUGGCCAGAAUCGACACUCUUGGGCUGGAAACUCACCUGGAUGAACGAAUAUAUUACGAAACAUUUCCAAACUGAGACAGAUCGGUAGGGCCCACGAUUUCCGGUUGCGGGACAAGAGUUUUUGAAACGUUUCCGGGUUGGCUUCGAUCAAAAUGCCGCUCCAGUUGAAUUUGCGUUCCAGGUCGAGUGUGUUGGACAGGAACUCGCCGUCGUGAGCGCCGCAAUCGGCAAAGAAUCCCUCCGUCUGGUAAUGAGCUUUAAAAUAACGCCAGUCUGGCCAGGCGAUCGAUCCUUGAUGUCGUCCGAGUCCAACAUGAGCGGAACCUGCGAAGACGGAGGUUGGUUCAAAUAAUGCCGCCGAAUAGUUUCAAUGACGCAUGGAUGAUCUUGCGCAACUUUGUUGGCAUUUAAAUAAUCUUAAAAUUGCAGUUAUACCCCAUCAGGUUCAAAGAAUAUACAAAUAAAUUCGAGUCCAUCCAUCAGCCAACUCUGUUUCCUCCAUCAAAUUGUAACUGCGAUUACUGCUGUG